GACGGACCACCCAAACGUUAUUCGGAAUCACUGGGCUUAAAGGGUGCGUAGGCGGUGUAGUAAGUCGGGUGUGAAAUCCCCCAGCUUAACUGAGGAAUUGCGCCCGAAACUGCUGCGCUCGAGGGAGACAGAGGUGAGCGGAACUGAUGGUGGAGCGGUGAAAUGCGUUGAUAUCAUCAGGAACACCGGUGGCGAAAGCGGCUCACUGGGUCUCUUCUGACGCUCAGGCACGAAAGCUAGGGGAGCAAACGGG
rnacentral:rRNA from 2 species